UGGAGCGGUUAGAACCGGUACGGAGCGGUUAGAACCAGUAUGGAGCGGUUGGUGCCCAGUAGAAACCAGUACUGGUGUGUCCCAGUAGCUCCCAGUUCAACCUCAGGACCACCCUGAAAUCCCCAGAUGCUCCCCCAGGCUCCCAGUCACCACCCCAGUAUAAACCAGUAUAAACCAGUAAACACCAGUAUAAACCAGUAUGGAGCAGUUAGAACUGGUACGGAGUGGGUGGCGCCCAGUAGAAACCAGCUGGGUGAUGGGUGGGGGGUGGGUGUGUCCCAGUAGCUCCCAGUUCAGCCUCAGGACCACCCUGAAGUCCCCAGAUGCUCCCCCAGGUUCCCAGUUGCCAUCCCAGUAUAAACCAGUAUAAACCAGUAUAAACCAAUAUAAACCAGUAUAAACCAGUAGAGUAAUUAGUUUCUGGUAGAAACCAGUCAGGACCAGUAUGGAGCAGGUGGUGUGGCACGGGUUCAGGGUCUCCCAGUAGCUCCCAGUACAGCUUCAGGAGGUCCCAGUAACACCCUGAAAUCCCCAGAUGCUUCCCCAGCCCAUCCCAGUAUAAACCAGUGCAAACCAGUACACACCAAUAUAAACCAGUAUAAACCA